GCCAUCACAAAGUUACUAAAGAAAGAUAAUGGAAAACGUACGAGUUUCAUAAAAAGACUGUAAUAUUAAAAGAUAGCCCAUGUUCUAUAAUGUGCUCAAAGUUACAGUUUACUAGGCCCACAAUUAGUGAGAAACCUGCCGAGUAGCUAGCACAAAUAUAGUUCAAAUUUCACCAUGUGCACAAGUU